rnacentral:rRNA from 1 species
GACGAACGCUGGCGGCGUGCUUAAUACAUGCAAGUCGAACGGAAAGGCCCUGCUUUUGUGGGGUUCUCGUGUGGCGAACGGGUGAGUAACACGUGAGUAACCUGCCCCUGAAUUUGGGAUAAAUUCAGGAAACUGGGGCUAAUACAGGAUAGGAGCUCCUGCUGCAUGGUGGGGGUUGGAAAGUUUCGGCGGUUGGGGAUGGAUUAGCAGGUUAUGCGCUUGCUGGUGGGGUAGUGGCUUACCAAGGUUUAGAGGGGUAGGCCGCCUGAGAGGGGGGACGGGCACAAUAGGCCUACGAGAGGGACCAGACUCCUACGGGAGGCAGCAGGCGGGAAUAUUGCGCAAUGGGCGGGAGCGUGAGGCGGCGACGCCGCGUUCGGGAUACCGGGCUUCGAGUUGUAAACCGCUGUGGCCUGUGACAAAGCGUGAGUGACGGUAAUUGGUAAGAAAGCACCGGCUAACUACGUG